GUGCCCAGGCGCGAAAACUUCACAAUGGGAGAAAUCCCGAUGAGGGAAUUCCAAGUGCUAGCACUAUGUGUUAGCUGUUCUUUUGUCUAAAAAAUAGAAGAAGUAAGGGCCGGGUAAGACGGGUGCCAGCCGCCGCGGUAAUACCCGCGGCCCGAGUGGUGGUCGAUAUUAUUGAGCCUAAAACGUCCGUAGCCGGUCUUGUAAAUCCUUGGGUAAAUCGGCCAGCUUAACUGUCCGAAGUCCGGGGAGACUGCAAGACUUGGGAUCGGGAGAGGUCAGAGGUACUUCUGGGGUAGGGGUAAAAUCCUGUAAUCCUGGAAGGACCACCGGUGGCGAAGGCGUCUGACUAGAACGAAUUCGACGGUGAGGGACGAAGCCCUGGGGCGCAAACGGGAUUAGAUACCCCGGUAGUCCAGGGUGUAAACGCUGCGGGCUUGGUGUUGGGGGUCCUUUGUGGGCGCCCAGUGCCGGAGAGAAGUUGUUAAGCCUGCUGCUUGGGGAGUACGUCCGCAAGGAUGAAACUUAAAGGAAUUGGCGGGGGAGCAC
rnacentral:rRNA from 1 species